CAUCCGCCACGGUAAUACGUAGGUGGCAAGCGUUGUCCGGAAUGACUGGGCGUAAAGGGCGCGUAGGCGGUUUGCACAGUCAGAUGUGAAAUUCCUGGGCUUAACCUGGGGGCUGCAUUUGAUACGUGCGGACUUGAGUGUGAAAGAGGGUCGUGGAAUUCCCAGUGUAGAGGUGAAAUUCGUAGAUAUUGGGAAGAACACCGGUGGCGAAGGCGGCGACCUGGUUCAUGACUGACGCUGAGGCACGAAAGCGUGGGGAGCAAACAGGAUUAGAUACCCGCGUAGUCCCUGUCUCUUAUAC
rnacentral:rRNA from 1 species